UAUGUUUUAGUAUAUGGUGUAUAGAAAAUUUUGAUUUUUCAGGUAAUAGUUUGAUUCUAUUAAACAUAA
rnacentral:tRNA from 1 species